rnacentral:rRNA from 1 species
AUUGAACGCUGGCGGCAGGCCUAACACAUGCAAGUCGAGCGGAUGAAGGGAGCUUGCUCCUGGAUUCAGCGGCGGACGGGUGAGUAAUGCCUAGGAAUCUGCCUGGUAGUGGGGGAUAACGUCCGGAAACGGGCGCUAAUACCGCAUACGUCCUGAGGGAGAAAGUGGGGGAUCUUCGGACCUCACGCUAUCAGAUGAGCCUAGGUCGGAUUAGCUAGUUGGUGGGGUAAAGGCCUACCAAGGCGACGAUCCGUAACUGGUCUGAGAGGAUGAUCAGUCACACUGGAACUGAGACACAGUCCAGACUCCUACGGGAGGCAGCAGUGGGGAAUAUUGGACAAUGGGCGAAAGCCUGAUCCAGCCAUGCCGCGUGUGUGAAGAAGGUCUUCGGAUUGUAAAGAACUUUAAGUUGGGAGGAAGGGCAGUAAGUUAAUACCUUGCUGUUUUGACGUUACCAACAGAAUAAGCACCGGCUAACUUCGUG